rnacentral:sRNA from 1 species
AUUAGCACUUGAAUCAAAAAAUGAAGAAUCCACAUCCAUAUUUCUUUUUUUGGCGGAGGGGAAUGGAGUCUUACUCUGUCACCCAAACUCCGCCUCCUGGCUUCAAGCAAUUCUCCUACCUCAGCCUCCCAAGUAGCUGGGAUUACAAGCACCUGCGACUACACCUGGCUAAUUUUUUUGUUUUGUUAGUAGAGAUGGGGUUUCACGACGUUGGUCAGUCUGGUCUGGAACUCCUGACCUCAAGUGAUCCACCCACCUCAGCCUCUCAAAGUGCUGGGAUUACAGGUGUGAGCCACUGUGCCCGGCAGCUGGGAGCGUUUUAAAGUCAAGUCCUACAAACCCUGGGCAGUUUCACCCGCCUUAAGGACCGCACUCAACUGUGACCUUCAUUCCUAUGAACCUCGCAGCAGUGGUAGAAGGUAUCAGUAGAGGCGGUCAGGACCGUGGUUCCUAAAGUCAGCCAAGCCUGCCGACGGCCAGUGCUGUAGUGCUGUGUGUUUCAGCAAGCUGUUUGGCUCACCCCAGUCUUGGUUUUCUUAUCUCUUAGACAUUAUCAUUGCUCUUACCUCAUUGGAUGCUUGUAAGGACUGAAUAGGGUGCACGUGGAAGGCUGAACCGAGUGCCUGGCCCAGAGGCAGCAUUUGAUCAGACUUAGUGUUCAUUAUGGUUCUAUAAUGUAACAUGACGUGAUUAAAUGGUAGAUCAUUACCACUAUUACGAGAAUGGCCACUAGCCUGAACAUCACUCCAGAGGAGGAGUGGCCAUCGGGAAGGCUGGCUUAGGGGCAUUUUUCUUUCUGUCUCUCACUCAUCAACCUUCUGCUUCUGUCUCAGGGAGGACUAGCUCGGAUCACCCAGGGUCAGCCGCUGGAGGUGGCCUUCGGGUCCCAGGUCACUCUGAGGAAUGUCUUUGGGAAACCUGUGCCCUGCUGGCUUCAUUCCCACCAGGACACCUACCCCAUGAUGUAAGGAAAGCGAUGGUUUUACUUUGAAGAUGAUUAAAUGCUUUAUUUGCUCAUAGAUGUGCUUAUCUUAGCAACUUUCCCUUUCUUUGAGGAAGUUUGUUUGCAGGGCAGAAAGAAGUUGAGCAGCCUGGGUGCUGAUUGCCCGUGAGCUUCGUGGUUCCCGGGUGUUGCUGGAGGGACUUGGCAUGUGGCAGGGCCCAGGGUCGGCCCCAGCUCUGUGGCUGUGGCUGACCUCAGCACUGCCUGCCUAAAUUGUCUGAUUUCAGCUCCUUAUCUGUGGUAUCUUCAUUUUCCCUGAAACCCCUUGCUAGGUUGUAUUUGUUGAAAUCUGCUUCCCUUUGCAGAAACUUUAGGAGAAAGGUGUGUGGGCCUGAUCGAUGACCCACUUCCAGAUACGUUUCUUUCCCUUUCUUUUCUUUUUUUCACAAAUAGAGACGGGGUCUCACUAUGUUGCCCAGGCUGGUCUCAAACUCCUAGGCUCAAGCAGUUAUCCUACCUCAGCCUCCCAAGGUGCUCUGAUUACAGGCGUGAGCCACCGCGCCUGGCCCAGAUACAUCUCUUUGUUGACUUCACACAGAUAUGAGAACGGCCGAGGAAGCUCCCACCAGCAACAGGUGACCUGUUACCCCUUCAAAGACGUCAAUAACUGGUGGAUUGUAAAGGAUCCCAGGAGGCACCAACUGGUGGUGAGCAGCCCUCCGAGACCUGUGAGGCAUGGGGACAUGGUGCAGCUGGUCCACGGCCUGACCACCCGCUCCCUGAACACGCAUGAUGUUGCAGCCCCCCUGAGUCCCCAUUCACAGGAGGUCUCCUGCUACAUUGACUAUAACAUCUCCAUGCCCGCCCAGAACCUCUGGAGACUGGAAAUUGUGAACAGAGGAUCCGACACAGAUGUCUGGAAGACCAUCCUCUCAGAGGUCCGCUUUGUGCACGUGAACACUUCCGCUGUCUUAAAGCUGAGUGGGGCUCACCUCCCUGACUGGGGGUAUCGCCAGCUGGAGAUCGUCGGGGAGAAGCUGUCCCGGGGCUACCACGGGAGCACGGUGUGGAACGUGGAGGAGCACCGAUAUGGCGCGAGAGCAGAGGGAGCGGGAAUGGGAGCUGCACUCACCUGCACAGGUGGAUGUCAGCAGGAACCUCAGCUUCAUGGCGAGAUUCUCGGAGCUGCAGUGGAGGAUGCUGGCGCUGAGAAGUGAUGACUCGGAACACAAGUACAGCUCCAGCCCGCUGGAGUGGGUCACUCUGGACACCAAUAUUGCCUACUGGCUGCACCCCAGGACCAGCGCUCAGAUCCAUCUACUCGGAAACAUAGUGAUCUGGGUUUCGGGCAGCCUCGCUCUGGCCAUCUACAGCCUGCUGUCCUUGUGGUACCUGCUCCGACGGCGAAGAAAUGUCCAUGACCUCCCUCAGGAUGCCUGGCUGCGCUGGGUGCUGGCUGGGGUGCUGUGUGCUGGUGGCUGGGCAGUGAACUACCUCCCGUUCUUCCUGAUGGAGAAGACACUCUUCCUCUACCACUAUCUGCCUGCACUCACCUUCCAAAUCCUUCUGCUCCCUGUGGUCCUGCAGCACAUCAGCGACCACCUGUGCAGGUCCCAGCUCCAGAGGACUGUCUUCAGCGCCCUGGUGGUGGCCUGGUACUCCUCCGCGUGCCACGUGUCCAACACGCUGCGCCCACUCACCUACGGGGACAAGUCGCUCUCGCCACAUGAACUCAAGGCCCUUCGCUGGAAAGACAGCUGGGACAUCUUGAUCCGAAAACACUAGAACAAGAGUGUGGCAAAGAACACCCGUGCUGGGGUCGGGACGAGGUUGAAGGGUCUUGGUCAAUGUACGUAAUGAGCAGGGUGGGCCCCACGCUGGGAGGACAUGGGCCGGGCUCAGCAGGGCCUCUACCGGAACACGUGGGGGUCUCAUUCUUGAAAAGCUCUCUGAUGAGCAGCUCCUUUUCGUGCAAAGUUAAUUUUUUCUCGACAAUGAAGAUACCCCCUCUGUGUCUUCACCCCUGAACUAAGACACAGGGAGUAUUUCAGAGGCCAGCUUAGGAGUUGACAAAGAAAAGCCGAGAACCCAGGGCCAGCAGUGAAGCAAGUGAGACUCAGCAGACCGGGGCCUGGUCCUUGCUAAGUGCUGCAGGGUGGAGUUUGAUCUGGCAGACCCGAUCCUCUUUCAUGAACACCCAGCAACCUGAGCAAGUCCCAGCCCCGCCCUCAGCGAGGCCGGCAGGCGUCCUGAGACAGCUCAGUGUUGGAGGGCCACCUGAAGCACAAGCCGGGGCUGGGGCCUGCACGUCAUUGUCUAUGACAGCAUCAAGACUGGCCCUCGGCACCGUGCUGUGUGGAAACCCUCCCCGCUGAGACUCCACUGAGACGUGGCUGAGUGAAAUCUUCCUCGUCAUUGGUCAAGGUGUGUCAUCCAUACAGCUCCAUGCCUUUACUUUGUCUUUUUAAUGUAAUUAAAAAAGGAAUGAACUGG